rnacentral:lncRNA from 1 species
GAAGGAAACGCGAAGGACGUUGACUGAAUAUUGCUACAGUCAACGCGAAGGACGUUCGAAGGAGAUGAGGCGAACAAGCAGCCCACGAAGCAGUUUGGCCACUCACCUGAAAUACAAGAAUAUCCUCAUCACAUCGCUACGAAGACAAUCAUCAUACGCUCGGACUGGAUAAUACAUAUCUAUGGCAUAAGCCUGUAAUUGACGUCAGGCAGCCAGACAUACUGCAAUGUAAACGCUGAGACACAGUACACAUGAACGUACUGUAUUGAUUUUCGGAAAACGAUCGAAUCUGCAUUGGAAUAUUCAUUGUAAUGAAGUACACAUCUAUACUAUUGUAACUCCUUAUUCAUUAGAAUGAAUGUAUUGUGAAAAUGAAUCUAUGAUCCUCAUGACAGUGUCCUAAAAUGUAAACUUGGCUAUUAUUGUAUCAAUAAACAUUACUUGUUAUCAAUA